UCUCUCUGACUCAUUGUCAGUAGGCAAAAAGUAUCACAAAGGCUAGAGACAGCUUUUACUCUCAGGUCUUGUGACAACAUUGAGGAAGAGAGACAGACAACCAGCUCUUUCUGAAGUGACAGCUUGGGAGCAUUUUAACAUCUGGUUCCUGUGUUAUGAAGAGGGCUGGAGCCUUUAAAACAACAUUGCUGCCCUGAAGGUCAGACAGAAACCACCGUUUUCCUCAAGGAACUUUUCUUAGGAGUUUGGAUGGCUUAACAUCUGCUGCUUGCAGUUCUAUUGUUAAUUUGUUAGGCAGCACAACCAAGAUUAUUUUUUCUAAUAUUUUCAAUGUGUGUCUGCGGGUGACAUAUCUGUAAAUAUACAAAUUAGUUUUGUAAGUAGGCUUAAAGAAGUGUAGUUAUAAAAUAGCAUCUAUAAACUGGUUCCGAUGGGUGUGUGCUGUGGAUGAGGUGUUGCGGGGUUGUUUGUGUUAUAUGCGUUGCUGCUGAAAGAAAUAUAAAAGAAACUUAAAUAUAUGUCAGGGUGUUUGCCUCUGUGUGUGUGUUCACGGGUUUAUAAGUAAGUUAGACUGCACUAUGUGAAAAUGUGGACAUUUUACCCAAUUCCAUCUCCCUUGAGAAUAAAUAUAUUUUUUUCUCAA